GGCGCCGCAGGAAGCUGCCGUUGUCGAACAUGUCGGCGGACUCCGGGUCGAGCGUCCAGUAGUUGCCCUUGCCCGGGUUGCCCGGUUCGCGCGGGAUCUUGACGAAGCAGUCGUUGAGCGACAGGUUGUGACGGAUGCUGUUCUGCCAGGCGGGGAACUUCUCUCGGUAGUAAGGGAAGCGGCUGCUGAUGAACUCGCAGAUCUCGCUGAGCGUCAGGCGCUUCUUCGGGCUCUGCAGGAUGGCCAUGGUGAUGAGCGCGAUGUACGAGUAGGGCGGCUUCACCAGCGGAUUCUUAGCGCCCCCGCCCGUGCCCGCGCCCGUACCACCUCCCGCGCCGCCUCCCGCUCCGGCGCCGCUGCAGCCUCCCGACCCGGUCCCCGGGGCGGGCGCAGGACCCGGAGGCGCGGGGGACGCGGCGGGCCGGGAGGCCAGCAGCAGGUCAUCGUCGUCCUCCUCCUCCUCCAGGUCCUCGAGAUCGUCCUCCCCGGCGUAAGAGCGCCUCCGCCGCUGGGCCGAGCUGGGCAACCGGGACCCGCCGCCGCCGCGGUCGCCGCCGCCCUCGUCGUCAUCGUCCUCCUCCUCCUCGUCGUCCUCGCCCUCCCCCACCACGUCGAUGUCUGUCUCCUCCGCGAGGCCGGAGGCAUCGGACAUCUCCGUGCUCAGGGUCAUAGCUGGGGCGGCGCGGUGGCGCGGCGGCACAUAGGGGCACCGGGCUCCCGGCUCCCUGGCCUCCCCAGGCCGAUCCCGGAGCGGCGGACCCGGAGCGAGGACGCCACUCUGCGACGCGCGGCUGCAGGAGGUGGCUGGGGCCGCUCCGCUCCGCUACUUGGCGAGCAGGGCUGCGCGAGGUGUUUGCGCUCCCGGCUCGGCGGGCACCGGGUGGCGGGCGCUCUAGACUUGACCUUUUCCACUGUGGUCCCUUUAGCCCGGUCAGUCCAGGAGGGGGUGGCUGGACCCUGGCGGGCCAGUCGGUGUCGGGCGCCCAGAAGGGCGCGGGAGGAGUGAGAAUCUAGAAACGGAGCUCGGCAAGGCCAGG
rnacentral:lncRNA from 1 species